GGGCUAAAGCUUGUCCGUGGCUAAGCGAAAGCGCUAAGUAUCCCACCUGGGGAGUACGCCGGCAACGGUGAAACUCAAAGGAAUUGACGGGGGCCCGCACAAGUGGUGGAGCAUGUGGUUUAAUUCGAUGAUACGCGAGGAACCUUACCUAGGCUAGAAUGCGCGUGACCGGCUCAGAGAUGGGCUUUUCCUUCGGGACACAAAGCAAGGUGCUGCAUGGCCGUCGUCAGCUCGUGCCGUGAGGUGUUGGGUUAAGUCCCGCAACGAGCGCAACCCCUAUGGUUAGUUGCCAGCACGUAAUGGUGGGGACUCUAGCCAGACUGCCUGCGCAAGCAGUGAGGAAGGCGGGGACGACGUCAGGUCAUCAUGGCCCUUACGCCUAGGGCGACACACGUGCUACAAUGGACGGUACAGCGGGUAGCUGCUGGGCGACCAGAUGCCAAUCUCGAAAAGCCGUUCUCAGUUCGGAUCGGAGUCUGCAACUCGACUCCGUGAAGCUGGAAUCACUAGUAAUCGCGCAUCAGCCAUGGCGCGGUGAAUACGUUCCCGGGCCUUGUACACACCGCCCGUCAAGCCAUGAAAGUCUGGUAGACCUGAAGCUGGUGCUCGUUAAAGAAGCCAGUUAGGGUAGAACAGG
rnacentral:rRNA from 1 species